rnacentral:lncRNA from 1 species
AAACUGUAAUAACUGAGGUACAUUGCCGGUCGGAUGAUCUAGGCAAUUGGGCCUCAGUGUACUUGCUUAGGUGGUCAGGAAUUUUUUGCAAUGGUCCAUCUCGAAUAUUGUCAGGCCCGUCCUUCACACCUGGAAGCCCUAUUGCGGACAUAGCCAAACCUAGGGUGGGUCUGAAAAAAAGGACCUUCUUAGUACUCACAGGACGAAUAUGUCGGAGAAAAUUGAGAGCGGGUAGAACCGUAGAAGUGUAGAAAAACGUGCCGAAGAGUGAAAAAAAAUAUUCGAUGGAUGAGAACAUUUCGAGUUAUGAAACAAUCUUUAAACUUUAAUAGAGACUGGAUUAAAGGGACUAAUUUAAGUGUCGCAGAAUUGAAGUGCAUAACAGCUCUAAAAUACACUAAAACUUCGCAUAUAUUUUAAAUUUUCUACACAAUUAACAGAUAAAUCCUAAAGUAUUCUAUGAGGCAAGGUGAACAAAUUGAUA